CCUUUUGCCAUCAUCUCUUCACUCGAGACAACGGCGCACACUCCACGACGCGAACGCCCCUUCCCCGCUUGGCUCUUUUCCUCUCCACCGCCUUCGCAACGGGCAUGCCUCCUCUCUCUCUCCUCUUCGGAUCUCCCCUUUGCCAUCGGCGAGAUCUCGGAGGAGAGGGGCGGACGCGCCAUGUCGAAAGCCCGAGCGUACGCUGACGUCAACGUCGUCCGCCCCAAGGAGUACUGGGAUUACGUGUCGCUCACUGUCCAUUGGGGGGUUUCUAGCAGAUCUUCAUGCUCGUGCAGUUUGGAGAUGCUAAAGGAUGAUGUUGAUACUCUUGUUCCCGGUAGAUUCUUCUGUUGCGAACCACUUUUCGGCUCCUACAUGUUUGAUGUACGAUGUUUCGUAAUAUGUAAUGACUCCUUCCGAGCAUCCACUGCAAUGUUUGCUUCCCGCUCCUACAAUCAGCUGCAUGUUGGCAGCUUUUCUUUUGCUGCUUGGAGUCAGGAUGUUUAUGAGAUUGUGUGCGGAAGGUUGGAAGAGGGAAGUACAGUGAGGUCUUUGAAGGCAUAGAUGUAACCAAUAACGAGCAGUGCAUCAUCAAGAUCCUGAAGCCUGUUAAGAAAAGCAAGUAGACGGUGGACAGUAGGAAAUCUUUGAAAGGGAUGAAGCAUAUAUUGCUUCCUGGGACUUUGAGAUAGCACAAAAGAAAUUGAUGUGUUGAAAAAUCUGCAAGUCCUAUAACAAAUAAAAUAUUUGACUUGUUGGUGUUUGAUGGUACUCGUGUGGCUUCCUGCACCUCCUUUUCUCCUUGCUUCAGCCUUCUGCGAGUCCAAGUGCAAAGUGAGAUGCGCCAAGGCCGGCGUGAUAGACCUGUGCCUGCGCUACUGCGGGGUGUGCUUCGAGGAUUGCAAGUGUGUGCCUUCGGGGACCUACGGGAACAAGGUUGAGUGCCCUUGCUACAGGGACGAGGUCACCGAGGGCAAGAACAGGAAGCCCAAAUGCCCGUGAGCCGGAAUCACCUGCUGUUGCUGUUACCAUAUCUAUACAUUAUAUGGUGGUAAAUAAAUGUAGCACUCGGGUUUUGCCAGCGAGGAAUGUACUUGUAGGAGACUGUCUU